UGGGGAAUUUUGGACAAUGGGCGAAAGCCUGAUCCAGCCAUGCCGCGUGAGUGAAGAAGGCCUUCGGGUUGUAAAGCUCUUUUAGUCGGAAAGAAAGAGUUGCAAUGAAUAAUUGUGAUUUAUGACGGUACCGACAGAAAAAGCACCGGCUAACUACGUGCCAGCAGCCGCGGUAAUACGUAGGGUGCGAGCGUUAAUCGGAAUUACUGGGUGUAAAGGGUGCGCAGGCGGUCUUGCAAGUCAGAUGUGAAAGCCCCGGGCUUAACCUGGGAAUUGCGUUUGAAACUACAAGGCUAGAGUGCAGCAGAGGGGAGUGGAAUUCCAUGUGUAGCAGUGAAAUGCGUAGAGAUGUGGAAGAACACCGAUGGCGAAGGCAGCUCCCUGGGUUGACACUGACGCUCAUGCACGAAAGCGUGGGGAGCAAACA
rnacentral:rRNA from 1 species